rnacentral:rRNA from 1 species
CAGUCGCCGCGGUAAUGCGUAGGUCCCGAGCGUUGUCCGGAUUUAUUGGGUGUAAAGGGAGCGCAGGCGGUUUAGUAAGUCUGAAGUUAAAGGCAUUGGCUCAACCAAUGUAUGCUUUGGAAACUGUUAGACUUGAGUGCAGAAGGGGAGAGUGGAAUUCCAUGUGUAGCGGUGAAAUGCGUAGAUAUAUGGAGGAACAUCGGUGGCGAAAGCGGCUCACUGGACCAUAACUGACGCUGAGGCACGAAAGCUAGGGGAGCAAACAGGAUUAGAUACCCGGGUAGUCCCUGUCUCUUAUACA